rnacentral:tRNA from 1 species
GCGGCUGUAGCUCAACGGCAGAGUUUCGCCUUGCCAUGGCGAAGGUCCGGGUUCGAUUCCCGGUAGCCGCU